rnacentral:rRNA from 1 species
UAUCAAAAACAUCACCUCUAGCAUAAAUAGUAUUAGAGGCAUUGCCUGCCCAGUGACAUACGUUUAACGGCCGCGGUAUCCUGACCGUGCAAAGGUAGCAUAAUCACUUGUUCUUUAAAUAGGGACUUGCAUGAAUGGCUGAACGAGGGUUUAUCUGUCUCUUACUUCCAAUCAGUGAAAUUGACCUCCCCGUGAAGAGGCGGGGAUAAAAAAAUAAGACGAGAAGACCCUAUGGAGCUUUAAUCUAAUUAGCUUAAGCAUAAAUUAAUAUCAAUUUCUAUAAGAAAAUAAAAUCUUCUGCUCAUGAGCUAUAGAUUUUGGUUGGGGUGACCUCGGAGCAUAACAAAACCUCCGAAUGAUUUUAAUCCAGACUUACCCGUCUAAAUUUAUAUUCAUUAAUUGACCCAAACUAUUGAUCAACGGAACAAGUUACCCUAGGGAUAACAGCGCAAUCCUACCCAAGAGUCCAUAUCGACAGUAGGGUUUACGACCUCGAUGUUGGAUCAGGACAUCCAAAUGGUGCAGCAGCUAUUAAUGGUUCGUUUGUUCAACGAUUAAAGUCCUACGUGAUCUGAGUUC